rnacentral:lncRNA from 1 species
AAAAUUCCAAAUAUUCACCAUGAUUUUCUUGACAGCAUUCAUAGCGAUGCUUUCCUCAAGGGUAUACAUUAUCGGUGCAUUUUCCCAAUACCUCAACUCAGAUGCUAUAUCUUGUUCCUCUAUAAUUGCUUAUACUUUUCCAUUCACUAUUGUAGGGGCUAUAUACUCUAUUUUUAUACCAUUAGAGGAAAGACGGUUACCUUUGAUGAUAUCUACCUAGGCUUUAGGUUGCUCUUCAUCAGUAGGUUCCUCGAUGUGUAUUUCUG